UGCCGACGGCACGCAACCUACCCGUCGGCACAUGGGCAGAUGGAAAAUAGCAAAUAGCAAAUAGAAAUGAAAAAUUGAAAAUAGGAAAAUAACAAUUUGAAUUUGUUGUUGUCUAAACUAGGCCGAUGGCGUGACGACCCCGGGUCCCUGCUGCUUGACGCGAUUCGAGACGGUCGCCGACAUCGCCGAGGAGGAUGGCUGAUAAUGGGUGGAUGUACAGUGGCCGUGCUAGUUCGACUGAAAUGACAG